GAUAAGAACGUAGUGAAAUGCGAUACUUGGUGUGAAUUGCAGAAUCCCGUGAACCAUCGAGUCUUUGAACGCAAGUUGCGCCCGAAGCCAUCAGGUUGAGGGCACGUCUGCCUGGGCGUCACAUAUCGUUGCCCAAUGCCUAUUGCAGUGCAAUAGGAAUUUCUAGGGCGAAUGAUGGCUUCCCGUGAGCGUUGUUGCCUCGCGGUUGGUUGAAAAUCGAGUCCUUGGUAGGGUGUGCCAUGGUAGAUGGUGGUCGAGUUAGAACGAUACCGAUCAUGUGCAUGCUCCCCAAAAUAUGGCCUCUAUGACCCACACGCGUCUUUUGACGCUCAUGACGAGACCUCAGGUCAGGCGGGGCUACCCGCUGAAUUUAAGCAUAUCAAUAAGCGGAGGA
rnacentral:misc_RNA from 1 species